CUUUGCAAAUGACAAAUCAACAGUAUGCUGAAUAAUCAGCAAUGAAACACAGGAGAUAAAUUAAAUGUGUUUUUCCAAAUGUCGGAAUAUCGAGGUUCCCAGGAGUUGGCAAAACUUCUCAAGUGGCCAUCCAGACUCAGGCUGUGCAGGAUAAGGCUUCCUUACGUAGUGAACGGUUGAGAAUAUUUGCUCCCCACACCCAGAGCCAUUCAGGCAUAUACUGUGCAAAAAGAAACUAAAAAUGAAAGAGAAAAAGGUUGUAAGGUUAGAACCCAAAAUCAACACUGAAGGAACAAGUACACAGACCAGCACAUGAAACCCACCAAUCACAACAAAUACCCACCAAUCAAUCACAACAAAUACCCACCAAUCACAACAAAUACCCACCAAUCAAUCACAACAAAUACCCACCAAUCACAAUACCCACCAAUCAAAUUACCCACCAAUCAAUCACAACAAAUACCCACCAAUCACAAUAAAUACCCACCAAUCAAUCACAAUAAAUACCCACCGAUCAAUCACGACAAAUACCCACCAAUCACAACAAAUACCCACCAAUCAAUCACAAUAAAUACCCACCGAUCAAUCACAACAAAUACCCACCAGUCACAACAAAUACCCACCAAUCACAACAAAUACCCACCAAUCAAUCACAAUAAAUACCCACCGAUCGAUCCCAACAAAUACCCACCAAUCACAAUAAAUACCCACCAAUCAAUCACAACAAAUACCCACCAGUCACAACAAAUACCCACCAGUCACAACAAAUACCCACCAAUCACAACAAAUACCCACCAAUCAAUCACAAUAAAUACCCACCGAUCGAUCCCAACAAAUACCCACCAAUCACAAUAAAUACCCACCAAUCAAUCACAACAAAUACCCACCAAUCAAUCACAACAAAUACCCACCAGUCACAACAAAUACCCACCAAUCACAUUAAAUACAACAAAGGAAAAAGCCUGCAGGCACGACUGUAUUGAAUACCUAUUUUUGCCUAAGAUCUUACCCUAGAUUCUACAUGGAAUAGAAACAUGACCACCACCCACCUACCCUACUUUCUGUAAUGAGGCUGGACUGUCCUGCAUGUAAAUACAAUUCUGUCUUUACUUAACAUGAUAUGAACAAAAUUUUCACUGGUUAAGAAC
rnacentral:lncRNA from 1 species